UCAAGUCAUCUCGGAGUUCACGCCUUAAUAAAAGGGAAUCGAUCAAUUAUUAAAACGUUAAAACUCCGAUAUAAGUCGGUGUAAAAUUACGCUAAAACGCUACAAAAAUGUGUACAGCUGUACAGGUUUCUACUUAAUCCCAAAGAGAAGAAGUGCUAUCUGGCUAUUUGGAGGAGAAUAUUGGCUUUAAAAUGCUAUUGACUUUGUGCUAGCGAGCUUCAUGGGACUGUCACAGGCGGUAAACUACUCACAAUUAGGUACCGUGGACUGGUAAUUCCUGCCACUGGGGGGCGCUAGAAACAAUUGCUCGCCACCAUUUACCAGGACCUGUUUUUUUGUCAUUGCUACUUUGACAAAAAAUGGAAAAGAGACAAAUCCACGAUAAACACAAGAUUCCCUUAACUAUCCGGAUGAAGCUGUGUGGAAAAGGAGAUGCUCGGAGAGGCCACAGCAUGAAGCGUCGCACACAGUUUGCGGUUGCAUAGUACAGUACAUAGAGAUCCUAAUUUGAAAACAGCAUGCUGCUUUGUAUUGCACAUGACUGAAACCUUGCUGUCAUAAUUCCAGCACGUGUGUGGACUGUGGAGCAUCUGACUUUAUGUACAUUAUAAAAAUAAUCACAAAUAGGUAUUUUUUGACAGGAAUAAUUUCCCCUCUGUUGUGUUUCAUCUAAUUACAGCUCUCUCGUGGCAUAUAAUACUGUACUGUGGGGAAUACUUGCUCCUCUUGCUCUUUAUUUGCAAUAUCUGAUGCGCUUUAGGGAUUACCUAUUUAACCUAUUUGAAAAUACCAAAAACAAUGUUUUUAAAGUCAUUUGAGCGUUAGGUCAGGAUGUUCACCUU